rnacentral:lncRNA from 11 species
UUAUAAGUGUUUUUAUGAAUGUCUGAUGUAAUUUAAUAACUUUUUAAUUGAUUCACAAUGUAUUGUACAAUUUUAUAUAUGUGUUUUAUUGUAAGCCGUCCUGAGUUCCCUAUUGGCGUAGUGGACUAAAGCCUUGUGACUCGAAGGUUGGGUUGCUGAUCUGAAAGCUGCCAGGUUCGAAUCCCACCCGGGGAGAGCGCGGAUGAGCUCCCUCUAUCAGCUCCAGCUCCAUGCGGGGACAUGAGAGAAGCUUCCCACAAGAAUGGUAAAAACAUCAAAACAUCCGGGCUUCCCCUGGGCAACGUCCUUGCAGAUGGCCAAUUCUCUCACUCCAGAAGCGACUUGCAGUUUCUCAAGUCGCUCCUGACACGAAAAAAAUAAUAAUACAGUAGAGUCUCACUUAUCCAACGUAAACGGGCCGGCAGAACGUUGGAUAAGCGAAUCUGUUGGAUAAUAAGGAGAGAUUAAGAAAAAGCCUAUUAAACAUCAAAUUAGGUUAUGAUUUUACAAAUUAAGCACCAAAAACAUCAUGUUAUACAACAAAUUUGACAGAAAAAGUAGUUCAAUACACAGUAAUGCUAUGUAGUAAUUACUGUAUUUACAAAUUUAGCACCAAAAUAUCACGAUGUAUUGAAAACAUUGACUACAAAAAUGCGUUGGAUAAUCCAGAAGCUUGGAUAAGCGAGUGUUGGAUAAGUGAGACUCUACUGUAAUAACAAAAAAAUAAGUCCCCUAUUGGGUGAGAUGGGCGGGAUAUAAAUAUUGUAAUAAAUAAAUAAGAGCAGCCACCUCCUUGGCUGGGUCACUUCAGAGACAGACAACCGAGGCCUCCUCGUCGGGGAGGUGUCCCAAUGAAGCGGCCCCUUCUGUUACCUCAGUUAGAGCCUCUUUGGGGAGAAAAGGGCGGGAAGGGCGUGACUGCGGUUGUUUUUCACCGCUUCAGGUUCGCCUCCAGGCAGGGAGGGAGAAGGCGAGAGGGCGUGUGUGUAUGUAUGUCUCUGACUCUGACUCCAAGCAAGGCGCUCACACCUCUUUCCCUGACAAGAGGAGGAGGGAGGCUGAGGCAGCUGGAAGGGCGAGUUCGUCGGCGGGGAAAACUCCUCCUCCUCCUGAGGCGCUGGGGGGAGCCUGGCAGGGCAGCAAGAGAGAGAGAGCGAGCGAGCGAGCGCCGGCGUCAUGUGACCGCGCUGCUGCUGCUGCUGAGUGCCAGGCGCCUGAGCCAAGAAGCAGGCGGACGGAGGAGGACGGAGGGACGGAGGAGCCUGCGAGUGAGGGGAGAGAGAAAAGCCCUCAGGUUCCCCAUACAACAAGGGCAGCGCGACUCCGGGAAAGGAAAAGCCCGGACAGCAGGGACUUCGCGAGCCACUUUUCCGCCGGCUGGGGAAAGUUUCCCAAAACCCAGCCAGCAGAGCUGUUUCCUGUUCUUUGUUUCAAGGCUGGGGUUUGCGUCAUACAUUCCAAGUAGCAUAUGUGUGCUCUUUCCUGUUUGA